rnacentral:rRNA from 1 species
GUGGGGAAUCUUGCGCAAUGGGCGAAAGCCUGACGCAGCCAUGCCGCGUGAAUGAUGAAGGUCUUAGGAUUGUAAAAUUCUUUCACCGGGGACGAUAAUGACGGUACCCGGAGAAGAAGCUCCGGCUAACUUCGUGCCAGCAGCCGCGGUAAUACGAAGGGGGCUAGCGUUGCUCGGAAUUACUGGGCGUAAAGGGCGCGUAGGCGGACAGCUUAGUCAGAGGUGAAAGCCCAGGGCUCAACCUUGGAAUUGCCUUUGAUACUGGCUGUCUUGAGUUUGGGAGAGGUGAGUGGAACUCCGAGUGUAGAGGUGAAAUUCGUAGAUAUUCGGAAGACCACCAGUGGCGAAGGCGACUCACUGGCCCAAUACUGACGCUGAGGCGCGAAAGCGUGGGGAGCAAACAGGAUUAGAAACCCGUGUAGUCC